AAGACAUUGUGUCUUCGAGUCGUUGAUUUCACACUGCCGAGAAAAGCCUCUAGAUAGAAAAUAGGUGCCCGUACCGCAAACCGACACAGGUAGUCAAGAUGAGAAUUCUAAGGUGAGCGAGCGAACUCUCGUUAAGGAACUCGGCAAAAUGACCCCGUAACUUCGGGAGAAGGGGUGCUCUUUAGGGUUAACGCCCAGAAGAGCCGCAGUGAAUAGGCCCAAGCGACUGUUUAUCAAAAACACAGGUCUCUGCUAAACCGUAAGGUGAUGUAUAGGGGCUGACGCCUGCCCGGUGCUGGAAGGUUAAGAGGAGUGGUUAGCUUCUGCGAAGCUACGAAUCGAAGCCCCAGUAAACGGCGGCCGUAACUAUAACGGUCCUAAGGUAGCGAAAUUCCUUGUCGGGUAAGUUCCGACCCGCACGAAAGGCGUAACGAUUUGGGCACUGUCUCAACGAGAGACUCGGUGAAAUCAUAGUACCUGUGAAGAUGCAGGUUACCCGCGACAGGACGGAAAGACCCCGUGGAGCUUUACUGUAGCCUGAUAUUGAAAUUCGGCACAGCUUGUACAGGAUAGGUAGGAGCCUUUGAAACGUGAGCGCUAGCUUACGUGGAGGCGCUGGUGGGAUACUACCCUAGCUGUGUUGGCUUUCUAACCCGCACCACUUAUCGUGGUGGGAGACAGUGUCAGGCGGGCAGUUUGACUGGGGCGGUCGCCUCCUAAAAGGUAACGGAGGCGCUCAAAGGUUCCCUCAGAAUGGUUGGAAAUCAUUCAUAGAGUGUAAAGGCAUAAGGGAGCUUGACUGCGAGACCUACAAGUCGAGCAGGGUCGAAAGACGGACUUAGUGAUCCGGUGGUUCCGCAUGGAAGGGCCAUCG
rnacentral:rRNA from 1 species